rnacentral:misc_RNA from 1 species
UCCCCGUUACCGAGGCAGUCUAGUUAGAAAAUGCAACUAACUACGAGGGUUGCGCUCGUUGAAGGACUUAACCUAACAUCUCACGACACGAGCUGACGACAGCCAUGCAGCACCUGUUACCGGGUUCCUUGCGGCACAGCCCUAUUUCUAGGGCCUUCCCGGAAUGUCAAGCCUUGGUAAGGUUCUUCGCGUACCAUCGAAUUAAACCACACGCUCCACCGCUUGUGCGGGUCCCCGUCAAUUCCUUUGAGUUUUAAGCUUGCGCUCGUACUCCCCAGGCGGGAUGCUUAACGCGUUAGCUUCGCUACUGACCGGGUCGAUACGGCCAACAGCUAGCAUCCAUCGUUUACGGCGUGGACUAC